rnacentral:rRNA from 1 species
CCUACGGGAGGCAGCAGUGGGGAAUAUUGCACAAUGGGGGGAACCCUGAUGCAGCGACGCCGCGUGAGUGAAGAAGUAUUUCGGUAUGGAAAGCUCUAUCAGCAGGGAAGUAAAUGACGGUACGUGACUGAGAAGCUCCGGCUAACUACGUGCCAGCAGCCGCGGUAAUACGUAGGGGGCAAGCGUUAUCCGGAGUUACUGGGUGUAAAGGGAGCGCAGACGGAUGUGCAAGUCUGGAGGGAAAGGUGGGGGCCCAACCGUCGGACUGCACUGGAAACUGUAAAUCUGGAGUGCAGGAGAGGUAAGCGGAAUUCCUAGUGUAGCGGUGAAAUGCGUAGAUAUUAGGAGGAACACCAGUGGCGAAGGCGGCUUACUGGACUGCAACUGACGUUGAGGCUCGAAAGCGUGGGGAGCAAACAGGAUUAGAUACCCGAGUAGUC